rnacentral:rRNA from 1 species
GACGAACGCCGGAGGCGUGCUUAACACAUGCAAGUCGAACGAUGAAAUGGAGCUUGCUCCAUGGAUUAGUGGCGAACGGAUGAGUAACACGUGAAUAACCUGCCCUUAAUUUUGGAAUAACCCAGGGAAACCUGGGCUAAUACCGGAUAAGUAAACCUGUGGCAUCACAUGGUUUUGGAAAGUUUUUCGAUUAAGGAUGGAUUCGCGGCCUAUCAGCUUGUUGGUGAGGUAAUGGCUCACCAAGGCGACGACGGGUAGCCGGCCUGAGAGGGUGAACGGCCACACUGGGACUGAGCCACGGCCCAGACUCCUACGGGAGGCAGCAGUGGGGAAUAUUGCGCAAUGGACGAAAGUCUGACGCAGCGACGCCUCGUGAGGGACGAAGGUCUUCGGAUUGUAAACCUCUUUCAGCAGGGACGAAGCGAAAGUGACGGUACCUGCAGAAGAAGCACCGGCUAACUAUGUGCCAGCAGCCGCAGUAA